GAGGAAGUGAGGAACACGGCCGCUCCCGAAGUCACGUUGAAAUUUCUCCAUUCGCAGAUUCAGGCCCCAAGCCUGUAGGAUGCACUUAUCGUGUCUCGUCAUUAUCCUCUGCCCUCUGUUUCCAAGUAAAACGCUGGCAGAGAUUAUUCACCAAUGGCCAAGUGGGUUGACCUUGAACAAAGGCGAGCCAGCGGAAUUGAACUGCUACCAGAAUGACAGCAGCAAGUACGUUAUGCUGUGGUACCGACAGUACGCCGGGCAGGGUCCCAGCCUAAUCGGUUACUCCCGCACUGGAAUUCCAUCCACUUACGAAGAAAACUUUAAAAACGCGGUCGAGAUUGUAAGGGCGGGGGACAAAACAUGCACCUUGAAGAUCUUCAAGGUUAAGACGGCAGACUCGGCGGUCUAUUACUGUGCCAGCAGUGAGCACACCGAUGAAAACUGCGCUGGUACCAGCACAAAAACCAACAGGAUGAACACCAGAACUGACUGCAAGGUGGAAAGGGAACGCCAUAUUGGGAAUGGCAUUGUAACCGUCGUAUUCCAAAAAGGAGAGGAAUGA